rnacentral:rRNA from 1 species
CGCAGCCGCGGUAAUUCCAGCUCCAAUAGCGUAUAUUAAAGUUGUUGCAGUUAAAAAGCUCGUAGUUGAAUUUCGGGGUCAGUAGGUCGGUCGUGCCACUGGUAUGAACUGGUUUUACUGAUUCCUCCCUCUUGAAGAACUGUAAUGCCAUUAAUUUGGUGUUGCAGGGAAUCAGGACUGUUACUUUGAAAAAUUAGAGUGUUUAAAGCAGGCUUUAGCUUGAAUACAUUAGCAUGGAAUAAUGAAAUAGGACGUUUGAUCCUAUUUUGUUGGUUUCUAGGAUUGACGUAAUGAUUAAUAGGGAUAGUUGGGGGCAUUAGUAUUCAAUUGUCAGAGGUGAAAUUCUUGGAUUUAUUGAAGACUAACUACUGCGAAAGCAUUUUGCCAAGGAUGUUUUUCAUUAAUCAAGAACGAAAGUUAGGGGAUCGAAGACGAUCAGAUACCGUCGUAGUCUUAACCAUAAACUAUGCCGAACUAGGGAUCGGAUGAUGUUAAUUUUUAAUGACUCAUUCGGCGCCUU